AAUGUCAGGACGAUAGUGGUCUAAAAUGCGCUUGGCGUUGGCAAGACCAAAAUCCUCAAAAUGAAUAAAGGCCUCAGGAAAGACUUCACGAAUGGCCUUUAUAACAUUGUCCAAAAAGCUGUCAUACUGUUCACCACGAACACGAUCCUUUCUCAAACCCAUGUAUUGAUGAUUUUUACGAUGGGUUUCAUUGUUGGUGCCAACAUCGAGAACAAUGGGCAAGAAUCGAUUAGGGUCUAAACCCGCGCAUAAAGUCAUUAAAUGUCCCUUGGCAACUGAAAUUAAGACACCACCAACACCUUGAUCGCCGAUACCCAAAAUACCUUCAGAAUCGGUAAUGAUAAUGUAUUCGACACUAUCGGAUUUUCCAAACUCGGAAAGCUGUUGCUUGAUAUAAGACAAAUCGUUAUGAUCAAUAUCCAAAUAACAACCCUCAGGAUAACGAUAUAUAUCGGAAAACUGCUUGAUGGCAUCGCCUUCGGUAGGUGUAUAGAUGAUAGGAAUCAUUUCGAUCAAAUGUUGGCUGAUGAGUGCGUAAAACAGAGUUUGGUUGGUGACGCUUAAUUGAGAAAGAUACAAAUUCUUCUGUAAGGGCUCAUCACCGAUUGCUUUGUACUGGUCAUAACAGCGAUCCAC